CUGGGUGGCCAGGGGUGCAAUGUGGGCAGUGUGAGUGGAGGCGAGGACCAAGGAAAACGUGCUCAGGGCCUACAGAUGGCGCCUACUGCAGGAGUCACGCCAAGCACCACAUUUCAACCCAAGUGUGACCACCGGGGGCCAUAUGGGAAUCCAUCCCAUGCCUGGCCUUACGCAGAGGGGCAGAGCUCAGGUCACUGAGUCCUUGUAGAAAGGCCGAUGUCUCACUCUGCAGCCGGGACACGGGGCCUGGCUGGCAUGGGGCAGUGCUCACCUAACAGACCCACAGGAAGUGAGCGGCCUGCAGGCCUGCAGGAAAGAACCCGUGAAGGCGCGGAAGUCAAUGUCCCUGGGAGGAGGCAGGGCCAGGAGAACCGCCUCCAAGGGCUUUCAGGUGGCUGGGCACAGGAAGGUCUACUCUCUGUGACUCCCAAGGUCCAGAGCAAGGCCAGGGGAGGAAGAUUCUCCACCGCCAUGGCAACACCCGAAGAGGGAAGAAGCUGGAAUAUGGAGAGCCUGCCGACAGGGGACCUGCCGGAGGGACCUGCCCUAGACGUGUGCGGGCUAAGCAUGUGCUCCACUCUGAGCUGCACCCCAGCCCUGGGUUUUCCUCUGAAGGAAGACGAGGAUGGUGGAAAAGUGGGGGCUUGAGGGGAAACCGAGGCAAGAAGAGUUCUGGUAAAAGCACAGCGCAACCCAUGCCUUUAAAGAGCACCACAAUUAAAUGUUUCAAUGCAUCCUGUGAGGCUUCAGAUGGUGGGACUUCAUUCCUAAUCAGGGGUGGGACAAAGUUGGGAAGGAGGGCCACAGAGGGACUGCAGUGAGCCAGGCAAAGGGAGCCAGGUCAGGUGUGGAGGCAGAAGGGACAUCCACAAAGGGCCCGAGUGAGGCAGCAGCUGGAAGCCAUGAGGAGCAGCCAAAGGGCUGGGGCUUCUUCAGGAAGUCCAACCUGCCUACCCCGCCCGGGGGGGGUCAGGAGCAGGCACCCAGUUAGGUGGCUACCUCAGGGGUCUGGCAGAGGACAAGAGUGGCACGGACUGGGGGAGGGUGGCUUGGGAAGGAGCAAGUGGACGGAGUGGGGAUGUAUGAGGGAAAUAAAACCCAGUGGAGGGAAGUGGCCCUUGUCCCCAGGAAGGAUAUGGACUUGAACACUGAUGUCACUGUCCAGCUGUGUGGCUGGCUCCCCGCGCUGCUGAGGGGACCCCACCCUUUGUCCUCAAGUGUCCACAAGGAAACUUCUACUCUAUUCCCCAGAAGAGGAGGCCUUGGAGUCACCCCCUGCCCCUCUCUGAGCCCUUCCUCCUGGUGGGUGAUGCUCGGCCUGAUGAGGUGGGGAGGGUCUGACACAGGACACAUCCAUCGCUCUCUCGGGGUGAGGGACUAGAGGCUGAAACCAGGGCGAUUUUCCCUGUGGCCAGCCCUUCUCUCUUGGGGAGUCGGCCCAGUAUGGACC
rnacentral:lncRNA from 1 species